AUUGAACGCUGGCGGCAUGCUUUACACAUGCAAGUCGAACGGUAACAGGCCUUCUGGUGCUGACGAGUGGCGCACGGGUGAGUAAUGCAUCUGAACGUACCCAGAGGUGGGGGAUAACGCAGCGAAAGCUGUGCUAAUACCGCAUGUGAUCUGAGGAUGAAAGCGGGGGACCGAGCAGCAAUGUUUGGCCUCGCGCCUUUGUAGCGGCCGAUGUCGGAUUAGCUAGUUGGUGGGGUAAAGGCCUACCAAGGCGACGAUCCGUAGCUGGUCUGAGAGGACGACCAGCCACACUGGGACUGAGACACGGUCCAGACUCCUACGGGAGGCAGCAGUGGGGAAUUUUGGACAAUGGGCGCAAGCCUGAUCCAGCAAUGCCGCGUGCGGGAAGAAGGCCUUCGGGUUGUAAACCGCUUUUGGCAGGAACGAAACGGUGUCCGCUAAUACCGGGCGCUAAUGACGGUACCUGCAGAAUAAGCACCGGCUAACUACGUG
rnacentral:rRNA from 1 species